rnacentral:rRNA from 2 species
UUUUUUCUUGUUGGUGGGGUAAUGGCCUACCAAGGCGACGACGGGUAGCCGGCCUGAGAGGGCGACCGGCCACACUGGGACUGAGACACGGCCCAGACUCCUACGGGAGGCAGCAGUGGGGAAUAUUGCACAAUGGGCGAAAGCCUGAUGCAGCGACGCCGCGUGAGGGAUGACGGCCUUCGGGUUGUAAACCUCUUUCAGCAGGGAAGAAGCGAAAGUGACGGUACCUGCAGAAGAAGCGCCGGCUAACUACGUGCCAGCAGCCGCGGUAAUACGUAGGGCGCAAGCGUUGUCCGGAAUUAUUGGGCGUAAAGAGCUCGUAGGCGGCUUGUCACGUCGGGUGUGAAAGCCCGGGGCUUAACCCCGGGUCUGCAUCCGAUACGGGCAGGCUAGAGUGUGGUAGGGGAGAUCGGAAUUCCUGGUGUAGCGGUGAAAUGCGCAGAUAUCAGGAGGAACACCGGUGGCGAAGGCGGAUCUCUGGGCCAUUACUGACGCUGAGGAGCGAAAGCGUGGGGAGCGAACAGGAUUAGAUACCCUGGUAGUCCACGCCGUAAACGUUGGGAACUAGGUGUUGGCGACAUCCACGUCGCCGCGCCGCAGCUGCGCAGGGAGCG